ensembl:lncRNA
AGUAAGCGGCAGAGCCAGUCCCACAGGCCAGGCUUUGUCCUUCUAGACUCAGCCCCCUUUUCACCUCGCACACAGCCCCCUUGCUGAGGCUACAGAUGGUGUUCACGGAGCAGGCACUGUGGCCCGGAGGCUGAUCAGCAUGUGAAGAUGAUGUCUUUAGCCUAAUUAAGUAACCAAGUGGGAGCAUCUGCAUGAUCAAGUCUUUCCUUCCCCGGGCUUGCAUAAACCAUUUACCAUCUGCCUACUUUAUAGGAGACUUCUAAUUGGUGCCCUUGAGCUGAAGACUUCUGAUUAAAUUGAGUCCCUCAGUCUUUCUUGCAAUGCUUUGGACAUGUUACCUGCUCAGUGAAUAUUUGUCAGAUGGAUGGAACUAUUUACUUGCCAAGGAAAAGACAAUCUGUAAGGAGGUAGUGCUAUCAUUUCAGUUCUGACCCACUGGAACCUGACAUGUGAUCUGUCAUUGCCAGUAAAUACCUCAACCAACACGUCGUUCUGGCUUUUAGUUCCACUUCUCUGAAGCCCUCCUCCAGACUGGAGCAGAAGAGCAAGUCUUCUUGCAGUUCUACGACACUAGAAAUCAGAAAAUUCAAAGAGACUCUUGGGGAGUUAUGCUUCUCUAUGAGCAGGUUAUACUUCUUAUUAGGUUGGGCAUCCGUUAUUUUAUGUGAUAUCAUACUUUUAUAUUUUCUCACUGUAGCAGAAAAGAGUGUAGAGCUUUCCAUCUGUUUUUGCUAGCAGCAUUAAUAAAUUUGGCCCAAAAUGAGAAAUUCAGUAUGACAUAUAGAAAGCCGUCUAAGUUAUAUUCCACCCGUCCUCACAGUAAAACGCAAUGACUCUCAGCACAGUCUGUGAAUUGUUUUUAUUUGUCACAUUGGUCACUUGACUUCUUGUUUGACGUUAGCAUUGAAAACAUCGCAUGUUCUCAUCCCUUUGGUGUCAGGUUUUGGGGAGGCAUUUCUACUUUUUCCUCUACUAGAUUAGAAGUCCCCCAAAAUAGUCUUUGUAACAAAUAUCAGCUGAAGACAGUGUCAUACAAUGGCCAAAACACACACUUAGCACUCAGUGGGGUCCUGACGCAACAAGAGAUGUCACUCCUGCUAGAUGUGUAUGACUCUGGAG